rnacentral:rRNA from 1 species
CCUACGGGAUGCAGCAGUGAGGAAUAUUGGUCAAUGGCCGAGAGGCUGAACCAGCCAAGUCGCGUGAGGGAAGACGGCCCUACGGGUUGUAAACCUCUUUUGUCGGGGAGCAAAGAGAGUCACGUGUGACUCAUUGAGAGUACCCGAAGAAAAAGCAUCGGCUAACUCCGUGCCAGCAGACGCGGUAAUACGGAGGAUGCGAGCGUUAUCCGGUUUUAUUGGGUUUAAAGGGUGCGCAGGCGGAGGUGCAAGUCAGCGGUCAAAUUGCGGGGCUCAACCCCGUACUGCCGUUGAAACUGCAUGCCUUGAGUGCGCGAGAAGUAUGCGGAAUGCGUGGUGUAGCGGUGAAAUGCAUAGAUAUCACGCAGAACUCCGAUUGCGAAGGCAGCAUACCGGCGCGCAACUGACGCUGAUGCUCGAAAGCGCGGGUAUCGAACAGGAUUAGAUACCCGUGUAGUC